AGCGAACGCUGGCGGCAGGCCUAAUACAUGCAAGUCGAGCGCACCUUCGGGUGAGCGGCGGACGGGUGAGUAACGCGUGGGAACGUGCCCUUUGGUACGGGAUAACUGAGGGAAACUUCAGCUAAUACCGUAUGUGCCCUACGGGGGAAAGAUUUAUCGCCAUUGGAGCGGCCCGCGUUGGAUUAGGUAGUUGGUGAGGUAAAGGCUCACCAAGCCUACGAUCCACAGCUGGUCUGAGAGGAUGAUCAGCCACACUGGGACUGAGACACGGCCCAGACUCCUACGGGAGGCAGCAGUAGGGAAUCUUGCGCAAUGGGCGAAAGCCUGACGCAGCCAUGCCGCGUGUAUGAUGAAGGUCUUAGGAUUGUAAAAUACUUUCACCGGGGAAGAUAAUGACGGUACCCGGAGAAGAAGCCCCGGCUAACUUCGUGCCAGCCGCCGCCGUAAAAC
rnacentral:rRNA from 1 species